ACAAAUUCCGGAGGAUGAUUAUGUUCCUCGCGGUGGCCCGGACGCCACACACGAUUCUGUGGUGAUAUCCUGAUUGGUUGCGUUCUCGGUGCCAGCUUAUUGUGGAAACACAACAUAUAUUU